GUUCACCCAGGCAGGUAAGGGCGGCCCGCCGGCCUGGGGCUUCCGAGGCCUGUAGAACGGCCAGGGCAGGCUGCAAAACACAGCCGAAAGCCUGCGAUUUAACAGUUCCCGUGAAAUUUGAUUGCUCCUCGGGCGCCAGGGGAGUUCUGCAGGAUGGCCGAAGCUGGAUCCUAGUUGGAGGUCUCGGAGCACUGGGAAAACCUUCUAAAGCACUCUGACCUGCAAAAAGAGAGAUGGGAACGACAAGGCGGGACAUUUUGCCAGUCUAGUUGGAAUCUGGUUUUCAGUAGAUCUGAAAGGACAGAAUAUUGCGCUCUGUGGAAAAUGGCGAAAUAUCUGUGAUUUGAAUUGAAAAAUUAAGAUUAAAUUUAAAUGUUUAGAGGGGAGGGGAAUAGAAAAAAAGAAGACGGAAGAUAUAUCCUGUACAGGUACCAAGUCCCUAUGAUGAAUGUGAUCAUUAUGUACAUCUAAAACGUACCAAUAAAAUAAAAAGAAAAUGACAGGCAAAAGUACUUGCGAUGUUCAAACAAGGACACAUUAAGUUAGAUAAAGUGGUUCAUGUAGGUUUCCUUUCCAAGUUGGUUCCUUUCUGUG
rnacentral:lncRNA from 1 species